CGAAACUUGCCCCGAGAUGAGUUCUCCMUGACUCCUUGAGAGUCCUGAAGGAACGUUGAAGACGACGACGUUGAUAGGCCGGGUGUGUAAGCGCAGCGAUGCGUUGAGCUAACCGGUACUAAUGAACCGUGAGGCUUAACCUUACAACGCCGAAGRUGUU
rnacentral:rRNA from 1 species